rnacentral:lncRNA from 1 species
GUACUCCUCUGUCUGGUACCGGUACUCAACACUAAAAACCUGCACUUUGCAGAUUUCAAUAUUAAACUCUGCUCUCGCGUCGCACUGAGUCCGUUUUGCGUCCAUUUCGCGCCAAAACAAUUCCGACUUGUACUCGCAACACUCUCCAGAUGUGUCAACAAGUCUCAGAUGCUGAAAUCUCACUGGCAACCAAACACCAGAAAUACUACACCAUGGGGGUGGGGUUAGCUACCCAAACCCCCAAAAAUAGUGUUUGGGGUUAAAGGAGGGGAUAACCCCUUAUCCCGCCCGUUAACCCCGAACGAAAUACUAGCUAUAGGCUUCGUUUGGUUCGGGGUUAAGUAAGAACUAGUUAUUCUAGGGAUAGGUAUAAGAUGAGGGUUAAGCUGGGGUUAGAGUAAUUUUGUGUUUGAUUGAGAAUUGAGUUUAAUCCAGGUAUAAGCAAAAUAAUGUUUGGUUGGAGUAAGUGGAAUAAGAAGGAUAGUGCGUUGUUAUAGAGAAAAAUGAUCAAAAUACCCCUCACAUGAAAUCUAUGUAAAUAAGAGCUUUUAAUCUUUUCAUUUAAAUUUAGAUGAUUGCAAUUUUUUUUUUUUGUGAAAUUAAAUUAAUUUUAGUGUAAUUUGUUACCAAUAUAAUUUUUUACUAUUCUUUUGAGACCUUGAAAUUACCAAAAUUUUACGAAAAUCUAUUUUGAAAUUUUCUUGAGUUCAAAUUACAAAUACUUUACACAAUUUUUUGUAAAAAUCAUUAGCUACAUAUGAAAAUAAUUUUAAAUUACAAAUACUUUACCCAAUUCUUUUACAAAAUCAUUAGCUACAUAUGAAAACAAUUUUUAGGUAAUUGUAGUUCUGGCAAGAUAAAUAAGGCUGACAUGAAAAUACAAAGAAUCAAGUACCAAUUUGCUUGAAAAUAAUAGUACGAUACAAAAUACAAAUUUCUUUCACCGCAAUAUUAAAUUAAUUCAACGCUCACACAAUAUAAGACAGAAAAACUAUUACAAAUUUGUAGGCAAAAUAACUAAGUCACCAACAUUUAUAUACAUAAAAAAUAUCUUCAAAUCAAUGAACAGUUACAAAGAUAACAACACAUUUGUACACACUGAACUUUAGCAAAUAGCAAGGUUUUAGCGUAAGAAUACUAAUUGGAAUUAUUCUAGCUGUUUCGGGGGUUGUCGGGAGUAUACUGACACCUAACUUAAGUGCUCUAAAUGUGAGAAUGGAUUACUGACAUUAAAAUCUACAAAUUGCAUGGUUUUGAGUAUUGAGUACCGAUACCUGAGUAGGGUACCGGUACCUCAGAGGGUU